UGAGUUGACUGGACGGUCGCUCGCUGCGAUCGCGGCGGGAGGAAAGUCCGAGCUCCACAGAGCAUGAUGCUGGGUAAUACCCAGGCGGGGCGACCCGACGGCACAGUGCCACAGAGAGCAGGUCGCCGGCUGAUACUCCACGGUCGAAGGGCCGCGGUGGAAAGCCGGUAAGAGUGAAACGGUGGUGUAAGAGACCACCAGCAGCCCGGGUGACCGGACUGGCUCGGCAAACCCCAUCAGGAGCAAGCCCAAGCAGGGACAGGCGCUUUCGCGCCGAGGGCUGCUCGUCCCUUUGUCCCAGGUAGGGCGCUAGAGAUGCCAGGUAACUGGCAUCCCAGAGAGAUGACCGUCGCCUCGUCUUUGCUGCGCUUUUCGUCUAACUACGCAGAAGGCGCGAAAAGGAAAUGCGUGGCCAGAGACAAGGUACAGAACUCGGCUUACAAGUUGACUCAGGUG
rnacentral:RNase_P_RNA from 1 species